GAUGAACGCUGGCGGCGUGCCUAAUACAUGCAAGUCGAGCGAACAGACGAGGAGCUUGCUCCUCUGACGUUAGCGGCGGACGGGUGAGUAACACGUGGAUAACCUACCUAUAAGACUGGGAUAACUUCGGGAAACCGGAGCUAAUACCGGAUAAUAUCUUGAACCGCAUGGUUCAAUAGUGAAAGACGGUUUUGCUGUCACUUAUAGCUGGAUCCGCGCCGCAUUAGCUAGUUGGUAAGGUAACGGCUUACCAAGGCGACGAUGCGUAGCCGACCUGAGAGGGUGAUCGGCCACACUGGAACUGAGACACGGUCCAGACUCCUACGGGAGGCAGCAGUAGGGAAUCUUCCGCAAUGGGCGAAAGCCUGACGGAGCAACGCGGCGUGAGUGAUGAAGGUCUUCGGAUCGUAAUACUCUGUUAUUAGGGAAGAACAAAUGUGUAAGUAACUAUGCACGUCUUGACGGUACCUAAUCAGAAAGCCACGGCUAACUACGUG
rnacentral:rRNA from 1 species